AUUGAACGCUGGCGGCAGGCCUAACACAUGCAAGUCGAGCGCGCGGCGGACGGGUGAGUAAUAUAUGGGGGCUGCCCGAUAGAGAGGGAUAACUCCUGGAAAAGGUAGCUAAUACCGCAUACUAUCGGACAACCCAAAAGGGGUUAGCUAGUAGGUGAGGUAAUGGCUCACCUAGGCGACGCUCCCUAGCUGGUCUGAGAGGAUGAUCAGCCACACUGGGACUGCGACACGGACCAGACUCCUACGGAGGCAGCAGUGGGGAAUAGUGCACAAUGGGCGCAAGCCUGAUGCAGCCAUGCCGCGUGUAUGAAGAAGGCCCUAGGGUUGUAAAGUACUUUCAGUCGGGAGGCGUUACCGACAGAAGAAGCACCGGCUAACUCCGUGCCAGCAGCCGCGGUAAUUC
rnacentral:rRNA from 1 species